rnacentral:rRNA from 1 species
AGUCGAGCGGUAGAGAGGUGCUUGCACCUCUUGAGAGCGGCGGACGGGUGAGUAAAGCCUAGGAAUCUGCCUGGUAGUGGGGGAUAACGCUCGGAAACGGACGCUAAUACCGCAUACGUCCUACGGGAGAAAGCAGGGGACCUUCGGGCCUUGCGCUAUCAGAUGAGCCUAGGUCGGAUUAGCUAGUUGGUGAGGUAAUGGCUCACCAAGGCGACGAUCCGUAACUGGUCUGAGAGGAUGAUCAGUCACACUGGAACUGAGACACGGUCCAGACUCCUACGGGAGGCAGCAGUGGGGAAUAUUGGACAAUGGGCGAAAGCCUGAUCCAGCCAUGCCGCGUGUGUGAAGAAGGUCUUCGGAUUGUAAAGCACUUUAAGUUGGGAGGAAGGGCAUUAACCUAAUACGUUAGUGUUUUGACGUUACCGACAGAAUAAGCACCGGCUAACUCUGUGCCAGCAGCCGCGGUAAUACAGAGGGUGCAAGCGUUAAUCGGAAUUACUGGGCGUAAAGCGCGCGUAGGUGGUUCGUUAAGUUGGAUGUGAAAUCCCCGGGCUCAACCUGGGAACUGCAUUCAAAACUGUCGAGCUAGAGUAUGGUAGAGGGUGGUGGAAUUUCCUGUGUAGCGGUGAA